rnacentral:rRNA from 1 species
UACGUAGGGGCCUAGCGUUGUCCGGAUUUAUUGGGCGUAAAGAGCUCGUAGGCGGUUUGGUGAGUCGGGUGUGAAAUCUCCACGCUCAACGUGGAGGGGCCACCCGAUACUGCCAUGACUAGAGUCCGGUAGGGGGAGUGUGGAAUUCCCGGUGUAGCGGUGAAAUGCGCAGAUAUCGGGGAGGAACACCAGUAGCGAAAGGCGACACUCUGGGGCCGGUACUGACGUGAGGGAGCGAAAAGCGUGGGGGGAGCGAAACAGG